UCGCUUUGCGGUCAGCUCCUCCAUCUUUGGAUGCCAUCCUUUGUUUUGCGUUUGUAAAAGCAUCAUCUAAGCGUUAUCCUGAGCUUUUGUGUACUGACAGUUAAAAUGGCUACAUCUAAAACACUUCCUGUGAUCCGGAUUCUUCUGAUGGGCAGAAAAGCUCAUCUGGAAACACUUUACUGGGAGAAAGAACGUUUUAAACACAGAUGGGAGAGAAGCAGGUUUCUGUGAUCGAUUCUCCAGAUCUACUGGAUCCAGAUCUGAAUGAAGAGCAGCUGGAGAUGACGAAGGAGCAGCUGCUCUCUUGAUCUUCAGCACUAUAUGCACAAACUGCAGCGAUCAGCUGAGAAUGUGCUUUCAGUACAGGCAAAUCUAGAUCCACUUCAGUUUGUCUACAGGUCAAGCAGGGGUGUUGAUGCUAUAAGCACUCUGUUAAAUAUGAUUUUAUCACAUCUUGAGGGCACAAAGACUUUUGUUCGUUUAUUUUUUUAUUGAUUUUUCAUCAGCUUUUAAUUGUAUACAGCCUCAUAUCCUUGCAGAAAGGUUUAAGAGUGUUCAUAAUAUUGAUUAUGAGUUGAUUUGUUGGCUGAUGGAUUUUUUGACCAAGAGGUCUCAACGUGUGAAGGUAAACAGUGUUUUAUCUGAUGUACUUCUUUCCUCUACCGCUGUUCUUUCACCUCUUUUAUUUGUGCUUCACACUACUGAGUGUCAGACGCAACUACAGAGGCGUCACAUCAUUAAGAUUGCAGAUGAUUCAGUGAUUGUUUCCCUCUUUAAUAACGAGGAUCCUGAUCAUGGGUCUGU